rnacentral:lncRNA from 1 species
CAAAUUUGGUGGUUGUCGGUCUUUGCAAAUAACGCUUCUUCUUUUUCAUGUUCAGCCUUUGGCUGCUGGUUGCAUCAUUGGUUGAGUGCAUGGCCAUGCCGCUGAUGCAAUGCUCCUAUUACCAGUACAUUGAUACUCAUUUCGCCAACUUUGGAAGGAUGACAGGCUGAGUCAACCCCACCUGAUGUUACUUCAACGAAGAGAGUGGAUCGAACAAGCCACCCACUGAAGUGGGACAACCAAAGGAAACCCACGGGCAUAGACAAAAGGGAGGAUCGUGCAUGGAGAGAAGAUGAAGAGCCUCGUGAGUGGAGGAAGCCAUUCGGCCGACCACGUGCCUUGUGGUUGCAGCACAUUGAUCAGCGGUUGCAGCAGUUUUUGCACUGCUCGUGGUUGCAGAAGGUUUUUGAUGGGACAGCCUCGGAGUUGCUCGAGAGCGUUCACAUCCAUCAAGCCGAGCCACCCCCACCUGAAGUGGGGGUUCCAGGGUUGGGUCAGGAACUUGAGACAUCUUGGUUAUCCCUGUUUUCCUGCGACCUGAUGUUGGGAAUGCUUUUGAAGGAUGUGUAUAUGUGGCGAGGAUGGAAACAUGCACACGGACACCAUCGAGCAGUACGGAUGAAAUGGUCACAUUCGAGAGCUGUGAGUUGCCGACUCCAACGAAGUAAAGGUAUGCGUCAGCAGAACGUGUUGCAUGCAUGGAACAAGAU